rnacentral:rRNA from 1 species
CGUAAUAGCUCACUGGUCGAGUCGGCCUGCGCGGAAGAUGUAACGGGGCUAAACCAUGCACCGAAGCUGCGGCAGCGACGCUUAUGCGUUGUUGGGUAGGGGAGCGUUCUGUAAGCCGUUGAAGGUGUCCUGUGAGGGGUGCUGGAGGUAUCAGAAGUGCGAAUGCUGACAUAAGUAACGAUAAAGCGGGUGAAAAGCCCGCUCGCCGGAAGACCAAGGGUUCCUGUCCAACGUUAAUCGGGGCAGGGUGAGUCGACCCCUAAGGCGAGGCCGAAAGGCGUAGUCGAUGGGAAACAGGUUAAUAUUCCUGUACUUGGUGUUACUGCGAAGGGGGGACGGAGAAGGCUAUGUCAGCCGGGCGACGGUUGUCCCGGUUUAAGCAUGUAGGCGGAGGUUCCAGGUAAAUCCGGUACCUUGUUAACGCUGAGGUGUGAUGACGAGGCACUACGGUGCUGAAGUGAUAAAUGCCCUGCUUCCAGGAAAAGCCUCUAAGCAUCAGGUAACACGAAAUCGUACCCCAAACCGACACAGGUGGUCAGGUAGAGAAUACCAAGGCGCUUGAGAGAACUCGGGUGAAGGAACUAGGCAAAAUGGUGCCGUAACUUCGGGAGAAGGCACGCUGAUAUGUAGGUGAAGUCCCUGCGGACGGAGCUGAAAUCAGUCGAAGAUACCAGCUGGCUGCAACUGUUUAUUAAAAACACAGCACUGUGCAAACACGAAAGUGGACGUAUACGGUGUGACGCCUGCCCGGUGCCGGAAGGUUAAUUGAUGGGGUUAGCGGCAACGCGAAGCUCUUGAUCGAAGCCCCGGUAAACGGCGGCCGUAACUAUAACGGUCCUAAGGUAGCGAAAUUCCUUGUCGGGUAAGUUCCGACCUGCACGAAUGGCGUAAUGAUGGCCAGGCUGUCUCCACCCGAGACUCAGUGAAAUUGAACUCGCUGUGAAGAUGCAGUGUACCCGCGGCAAGACGGAAAGACCCCGUGAACCUUUACUAUAGCUUGACACUGAACACUGGUCCUUGAUGUGUAGGAUAGGUGGGAGGCUUUGAAGCGUGGACGCCAGUCUGCGUGGAGCCAACCUUGAAAUACCACCCUUUAAUGGCUGGUGUUCUAACGUAGACCCGUAAUCCGGGUUGCGGACAGUGUCUGGUGGGUAGUUUGACUGGGGCGGUCUCCUCCCAAAGAGUAACGGAGGAGCACGAAGGUUGGCUAAUCCUGGUCGGACAUCAGGAGGUUAGUGCAAUGGCAUAAGCCAGCUUGACUGCGAGCGUGACGGCGCGAGCAGGUGCGAAAGCAGGUCAUAGUGAUCCGGUGGUUCUGAAUGGAAGGGCCAUCGCUCAACGGAUAAAAGGUACUCCGGGGAUAACAGGCUGAUACCGCCCAAGAGUUCAUAUCGACGGCGGUGUUUGGCACCUCGAUGUCGGCUCAUCACAUCCUGGGGCUGAAGUAGGUCCCAAGGGUAUGGCUGUUCGCCAUUUAAAGUGGUACGCGAGCUGGGUUUAGAACGUCGUGAGACAGUUCGGUCCCUAUCUGCCGUGGGCGCUGGAGAAUUGAGGGGGGCUGCUCCUAGUACGAGAGGACCGGAGUGGACGCAUCACUGGUGUUCGGGUUGUCAUGCCAAUGGCACUGCCCGGUAGCUAAAUGCGGAAGAGAUAAGUGCUGAAAGCAUCUAAGCACGAAACUUGCCCCGAGAUGAGUUCUCCCUGAGACCUUGAGUCUCCUGAAGGAACGUUGAAGACUACGACGUUGAUAGGUCGGGUGUGUAAGCGCAGCGAUGCGUUGAGCUAACCGAUACUAAUGAACCGUGAGGCUUAACCUU